UAGGGAAUCUUCGGCAAUGGACGAAAGUCUGACCGAGCAACGCCGCGUGAGUGAAGAAGGUUUUCGGAUCGUAAAACUCUGUUGUUAGAGAAGAACAAGGACGUUAGUAACUGAACGUCCCCUGACGGUAUCUAACCAGAAAGCCACGGCUAACUACGUGCCAGCAGCCGCGGUAAUACGUAGGUGGCAAGCGUUGUCCGGAUUUAUUGGGCGUAAAGCGAGCGCAGGCGGUUUCUUAAGUCUGAUGUGAAAGCCCCCGGCUCAACCGGGGAGGGUCAUUGGAAACUGGGAGACUUGAGUGCAGAAGAGGAGCGUGGAAUUCCAUGUGUAGCUGUGAAAUGCGUAGAUAUAUGGGGGAACACCAGUGGAGAAGGCGGCUCUCUGGUCUGUCACUGACGCUGAGGCUCGAAAGCGUGGGGAGCAAACAGG
rnacentral:rRNA from 1 species